AUUGAACGCUGGCGGCAGGCCUAACACAUGCAAGUCGAACGAGUGGCGGACGGGUUAGUAAUGUCUGGGAAACUGCCUGAUGGAGGGGGAUAACUACUGGAAACGGUAGCUAAUACCGCAUACCAUCGGAUGUGCCCAGAUUGGAUUAGCUAGUAGGUGGGGUAAAGGCUCACCUAGGCGACGAGCCCUAGCUGGUCUGAGAGGAUGACCAGCCACACUGGAACUGAGACAAGGGCCAGACUCCUACGGGAGGCAGCAGUGGGGAAUAGUGAACAAUGGGCGCAAGCCUGAUGCAGCCAUGCCGCGUGUGUGAAGAAGGCCUUCGGGUUGUAAAGCACUUUCAGCGAGGAGGCGUUACUCGCAGAAGAAGCACCGGCUAACUCCGUGCCAGCAGCCGCGGUAAUUC
rnacentral:rRNA from 1 species